rfam:Hordeum vulgare subsp. vulgare, WGS project CAJW01000000 data, contig: morex_contig_1904636
UAAAUACUCCCUGUGUUCGGAAAUACUUGUCCUAAAAAUGCAUAUAAUGAAUGUAUCUAUAACUAAGAUAAGUCUAGAUUAAUUCAUUUCUAGGUCAAGUAUUUCCAGACGGAGGGAGUAUAAG